GGGAGAGCUAGCUUCAUGCUUUGGAUGGGGAAAGAAGACAGAGAAUUGGAUUUUUUUUCUUCAUAGGGUUUUAGGAAGAUUGAGGCAAUCGUUGCUGAAGUCAGUGUUGUAAUAGUGAAUCGGGAUUUUUAAUGAAGUGGGUUUGAUUACUCUUGAUUGUUUUUGUGAAAUCGAGUUACGUCUGUGAUGAAAAAUUAAAAGGGUGUUUAUAGGAUUGAGUAUGCAGAGUGAAUGAAAUUUAUUGGGUUAAUCUAACGAGAUAAUUAAUGGAUACAAGAUCGUGAG
rnacentral:lncRNA from 1 species